rnacentral:rRNA from 1 species
ACGUACACUCCUACGGGAGGCAGCAGUGGGGAAUUUUGGACAAUGGGCGAAAGCCUGAUCCAGCCAUGCCGCGUGCAGGAUGAAGGCCUUCGGGUUGUAAACUGCUUUUGUACGGAACGAAACGGCCUUUUCUAAUAAAGAGGGCUAAUGACGGUACCGUAAGAAUAAGCACCGGCUAACUACGUGCCAGCAGCCGCGGUAAUACGCAGGGUGCAAGCGUUAAUCGGAAUUACUGGGCGUAAAGCGUGCGCAGGCGGUUAUGUAAGACAGUUGUGAAAUCCCCGGGCUCAACCUGGGAACUGCAUCUGUGACUGCAUAGCUAGAGUACGGUAGAGGGGGAUGGAAUUCCGCGUGUAGCAGUGAAAUGCGUAGAUAUGCGGAGGAACACCGAUGGCGAAGGCAAUCCCCUGGACCUGUACUGACGCUCAUGCACGAAAGCGUGGGGAGCAAACAGGAUUAGAAACCCCUGUAGUCCCAUG